UAAAACUACUCUGUCACAGAAAUUAUCACAGAUUUUCUUCAGUGCAUCCCGUGAUGCAAACCUUGGUUUGCUCCAAGAUGCCAUCACCGGUUCACUGGUAAACCUGUGACCAGGAGCAAAUCGUCGGCAAUGUCCGCCGACCCGCCUCCCGUUCCACUUCCAACUUCCCUACACAGCUGACUUCCCCGUCACCACUCCCUAGCAAUUGCAAUCUAUGUUGCAAGACAUAGGUCGUGAUGGCGGGGGCGUCAGGGUCAUAAAUGGGACGUCGUCGCCUCGACAAUUUAUUUGUUUAAAUUGGGCGCCAAUAUGUUACGAACUGCUUUUUUCGGUGGCAGUGCCGCUAGCUCAGUCUUUUCUCAGGGCAGAGUACCCCUAAUGCCACAGCUCGCAACAUAAGUAUCGAUAACUUCACGGUCUCACAUUACUAAACUAUCGGUCAUCACUAAUGACAAAAACGUAAACAAACCAACAAAACUACAAUUAAUGACGGAAAAACGGAUUACAUUUGGUGGCUAUCGGUGACCUAGCCAAGCGCUCCCACCCAACCAUGGGUGCCCUCGAGGUGCUACAGGGCACCACCCAUUCUCUGUCGGCAGGAGCCCCUUCCUCGCAACUACGGCGGUUCCAUCUCCCUCACUGGCCUUUAAGACCGAAACCUGGCCGCCGUCUUCAACAUUUACGCGGUCAAAGCAGAGGAUUUUGUUUUGCUGGAAAGGGUACAGGCGCCGCGGAAACUAUGCUCUACCAGUCAUGUAUUGGUAGAGCUCGCAGGGAAACGCGGCCCUCAAAGUAACAUACGCGAUGCGCGUGUGUGUGGUCACCUAAUCCUGAGGAGCUCCAAGGCAAAAGAAGGGACAGGCCAAAAAGUUUUAGGCAAACAACGAGGACAAAUAAGGCUCUCGGGACUAACUCCGGAUAAAUUCACAAACAG